UACGUAGGUGGCAAGCGUUGUCCGGAAUUAUUGGGCGUAAAGCGCGCGCAGGCGGUUCUUUAAGUCUGAUGUGAAAUCUCGCGGCUCAACCGCGAGCGGUCAUUGGAAACUGGAGGACUUGAGUGCAGAAGAGGAGAGUGGAAUUCCACGUGUAGCGGUGAAAUGCGUAGAGAUGUGGAGGAACACCAGUGGCGAAGGCGACUCUCUGGUCUGUAACUGACGCUGAGGCGCGAAAGCGUGGGGAGCAAACAGG
rnacentral:rRNA from 1 species